GUUAGCUCAGUCGGUAGAGCAGUUGGCUUUUAACCAAUUGGUCGUAGGUUCGAAUCCUACACGACCCACCA
rnacentral:tRNA from 1 species